UACAGAGGUGGCAAGCGUUGUUCGGAAUUACUGGGCGUAAAGGGCGAGUAGGCGGCCAUCUAAGUCAGACGUGAAAUCCCCCGGCUUAACCUGGGAACUGCGUCUGAUACUGGACGGCUUGAGUAUGGGAGAGGAACGUAGAAUUCCAGGUGUAGCGGUGAAAUGCGUAGAUAUCUGGAGGAAUACCGGUGGCGAAGGCGGCGUUCUGGACCAUUACUGACACUGAAUCGCGAAAGCUAGGGGAGCAAACGGG
rnacentral:rRNA from 1 species